CGCACCUUGCACCCUCUGGUAUUCCGGAGGGUAUGCCUGUUCGAGUGUCAUGAAAGCAUCAACCGAGCCGGGAGACCGCUCGGUUGGAUCUGGGCGUUUGCCGGUCACGGCUCGCCUUAAAAGCAUUAGCGUGGGAGGCUUGCUCAGUACGACGAUUAGGUUACGUCUGAACGGUGGGUGUCUCCAAGCUCAUAAUCCGCCCUCGGGCACCGCCUCCGGGCACUUGACUUUGACCUCGGAUCAGGUAGGACUACCCGCUGAACUUAA
rnacentral:misc_RNA from 1 species